UACGUAGGGGGCAAGCGUUGUCCGGAUUUAUUGGGCGUAAAGAGCGUGUAGGCGGCCAGGUAGGUCGGUUGUGAAAACUGGAGGCUCAACCUCCAGACGUCGACCGAAACCAUCUGGCUAGAGUCCGGAAGAGGAGAGUGGAAUUCCUGGUGUAGCGGUGAAAUGCGCAGAUAUCAGGAAGAAUACCCGUGGCGAAGGCGGCUCUCUGGGACGGUACUGACGCUGAGACGCGAAAGCGUGGGGAGCGAACAGG
rnacentral:rRNA from 1 species